rnacentral:tmRNA from 1 species
GACUGUUUAUGGCACAGAAUGGAUCACAGAAAAGGUGCUUAUGUAGUACAUUGGGUCCCCGACUGGUGAUGAUUUCAGCCAGGUCUGGAUCAUCUAUGAGCUUAGAGGUGGUGUACAUCAUCAGGGUGUAGGCGGUUCUGUCUAGCAAAGAGGUGUUAUUUUCCAGGCAGGUGAGUAUGGUGGAUUUGAUCUCUUGGAGGAUCCUGGCCGCCUCGGGGUGACACGCCAGACAUUCGCACAACACGCACACGGAGCUGGUGUUGCCCCUACAUUUGAGGGAGAAGGGAAACGAGAGUAGGCACGGUCCUUGGGAGGUAUCCACCGUCUCUACAGGUGUGUCUGGCUCGGAGUAAUCGGGGUCGAGUAACAGGGACCGCUUCCAGGCCUCGCUGAAUAUCUUGAGAAGACUUGGCCUGUUGGUGUUUGAAAAGAACUCACGGUGGGGCACAGCCUUGACAGGGCAGCCAGUGGGGGGAUCUGGACUCUGGGCCCCCUUCUUGUGGGCUGUUUCCAGAGAGCUGGACCAGAUACCUUGUAUGUGAGCAGCAGACUGGACAUUACAGAUGGUAUUAGAUAACAAACUCAGGCGGACCUGGUGCAGGUUUUCCAGUUGAGCCACCUGAUCGGGGGUGGUGUGCCUGAAGCAUUGCCUGGCAAAGAAAUGAAGGAUCGAGGACAUGUGUUUCCCGCUGACCAAAAUACUCACUGUGCCCUUCCUCAAGGCCCUAGAUCUGUAUCUCUCCCAGUUUUCCAUCUCAUGCAAGUUUCCCAUAAUUAAAAUAUCCACUGUGAAUCCUACCCUUCUGGCGUUUACCAAGAAGAAAUAUCUGGCUAGUGUUGUGUCUGAUCAACCCAUCGAGGUCCCUGCUCCAUCUGCCCGGCCUGAUCCUGUGAGGUUUACUGCUGCGGUGCCCUUAGCUUCUGAUGAGCAGUCUCUGGUGAAAGCUUUACAUUCCAGUACCGGGACAGUCCAGUGUGGAAAUCCAUUUUAUUAUAUGAUGACCAGACUUUGCUUGUAUGGACUAAUGCAUGGUAGGGGGGGAAUUGUGCCAGUUUCCAGCUCUAGUAAGCAGAGUGUAUAUGAUGUGGCUAUAAGAUUUAUAGGUUCUAGGAUAUUGAGCCCGAUAGUGAGGCUGCCAAUUUUAUCCAGGGCUUUGGCAGACCUGGCGCUGACGGGGCACGGUCAUCAGAUAACAGUGUGUAAUGAAUGUGGCCACUGUUUAAAUUUGGGCAGGGAUAAAUUUCUUGCAGUAAAUUUUUCCCCCACAAGUAUGUUUUAUUGCAGAGAUCAAAAGGAGAAACAGUUUAACAUAUGUGCUACAACUGGGAGGAUCUAUUGUUCAUAUUGUGGGGCGACAGAGUUUACAGUGUAUGACAUGGUGGGAAGGUAUGCUACGGGGGAGCCUUUUAUUAGGGCGGUUUCCUCAGCUAACUCCCUUAGUAUUUUAGAUAAUAGCGAACAGGAGUGUGAUAUACUGAUCCCUUGUUUUGGUAAAUCUAGGUCUUGCAGUAUUAAGCUGAGGGCGACAUUUAGGGAGCUACUUUAUUUGACAGCGUCUGUUGAUAAUUUUAUUUGUCAAAAGUGUUCCAAUAAGGGUGAUGAAUAAAGACAGGGUCAAAGCUCCAGCUUUCCACCCAGAGCUCCAUAACAAGCUUUUGGAAAGGCUUAAGGCUGCCUAUGGAAAGGACAGUAUUGGCAAAGACCCAGAAGAAGCCCCAGUUCCCCUGUUGUUGCAUACCUGUGCAGUUAGAUUCUAUGAAGAGUACAAAGAAUUGACACGUGAUAACACAUUGCCUACAUUGGUAAACAAGAAAGGAUUCCCGGGGGAUGCCAAAAUGAUGGACCCUGUCUUGGGUAUCUAUCACUCUGGAAAAAAACAGGGAGCAUCAAGUGUCCCUUCCUCUUCUGGAGCAUUUGACGGAGGGAGCCACGGUGGCCCUCUACCUUCUGUUGAUCUUCCUCAAAGGGAGGGAGGCCUGUGGUACGGACUGGGCCCUGACAAGUCUGGACUGGGUUUUGUGCUCCCCUCUGAUCCAGGGUCUAUGUCUGACGGGAACAGCUUUAGGGUUAUUCCAGACCCCUCAUCUCUAACAGACAAGGAUGACCAGAACUUGGGGGAAUCGACCAAAACAAGGAGUGGAAAUGGAAAGAAAAAGUAGACCCUUGACCAAAGACUGUUAAAUGUAAAGCUGUUUUAUUCUUUUUAGAGUAGACAGCAUAUAUGAUGAAUGGUCGUGUACACUUUUGAUUAUCUUCUCAAUAAAUAAUAAUACAUUA